rnacentral:misc_RNA from 1 species
UAAUAAGUGUUUUAUGGCACUUUUUAAAUCCAUAUCCACCUUGUGUGCAAAUGUCAGUCGAUUCUUCCCUUCAUGGAGAUCGACCAAAACAUCAACCUAUUUAUCUUUUAACUCUUUGUCUGAAAAAUAUUAUGAAUAAACAAUUUCAAAAUAC